GGGGAUUUAGCUUAGUUGCAUAAGCGCCUGCCUUGCAAGCAUGCAGUCGUGAGUUUAGUCCCCA
rnacentral:tRNA from 1 species